rnacentral:rRNA from 1 species
GACGAACGCUGGCGGCGUGCUUAACACAUGCAAGUCGAACGGAAAGGCCCUGCUUUUGUUGGGUGCUCGAGUGGCUAAAGUGUGGGUCACGCGUGAGUCACCUGCCUUUUCCUUUCGGAUAACUUCAAUAAACUUGGGCUACUACCUGUUAGUCGCUCCUGCUGCAUGGUGUGGGUUGGAAGGUUUCGGCGGUUGGGGAUGGACUCGCGGCUUAUCAGCUUGUUGGUGGGGUAGUGGCUUACCAAGGCUUUGACGGGUAGCCGGCCGGAGAGGGUGAACGGCCACAUGGGCAAUGAGAUAAGGGCAAGACGCCUACGGGAAUAAGGCGCAGUGAAUAUUGCACAAUGGGCGGAAGCCUGCUGCAGCAACGCCGGGUGUGGGAUGACGGACUUUGGGUUGUAAACCGCUUGCGCCUGUGACGAAGCGGGAGUGACGGUAAUGGGUAAAGAAGCACCGGCUAACUACGUG